ensembl:misc_RNA Metazoa_SRP Metazoan signal recognition particle RNA
GCUGGGCAUAGUAGCUUGCACCUGUAAUCCCAGCUACUCAGGAGGUGAGAGGCAGGAGGAUCGCUUGAGUCCAGGAGGCCUGGGUCGCAGUGAGCCAAGACAUGCCACUGCACUCCAGUCUGGACAACAGAGCAAGACCCUGUCUCUA